rnacentral:miRNA from 1 species
CUCAAAUCCUUGAAACUUAGGUGUGAGUGCUGCUUCAGUGCAACACACCUAUUCAAGGAUUCAAA